UACGGAGGGUGCGAGCGUUGUCCGGAAUCACUGGGCGUAAAGGGCGCGUAGGCGGCCUGAUAAGUAGGGGGUGAAAUCCUGCGGCUUAACCGCAGGGCUGCCUUCUAAACUGUCAGGCUGGAGCACAGUAGAGGCAGGUGGAAUUCCCGGUGUAGCGGUGGAAUGCGUAGAGAUCGGGAAGAACAUCAGUGGCGAAGGCGGUCUGCUGGGCCGUUGCUGACGCUGAGGCGCGACAGCGUGAGGAGCAAACAGG
rnacentral:rRNA from 1 species